UAUCUAUUAUGUUCAUCUUCACUAGUGAAGUAUUUUACUAGUGAUGAUGAAGAAUGAGCCAUAAC